rnacentral:lncRNA from 1 species
UUAUUAUUCACUGGUUGUUGUUAAUUCAUUGUAAGAAAAAUACAGACAUGGUGUUUGGCUUUUAUAGCCGAUCCAUUUCUAUUUUCUCUAUUAUUUGCUACUUUGCGUGUUUCCCCCUUGUUUGCAGAGUGAUUUGAUGCUGAUGGGUUAGGUGGCAGAGUUGGUGGUUGCUAGAGGCGACGGCAACAGAGAGGAAAUGACGGCGACGAC